rnacentral:rRNA from 1 species
AUGCUCUCUCACCCUCUAGACGAUAACGUCCCAUGCCCGGUACUGCAGUACGCCGAUGAUACGUUGAUCGUGCUGCCGGCGAUCGCGGAACAGUUGCACCACCUCAAGCAGUUGCUAUUGCAAUUCUCCUCGGCCACUGGACUCACUAUUAAUUUCCACAAAAGCACGUUCGCCCCUAUCCACGUAGACUCAGACACCUCCCAUAAUCUCGUAGCGAUCCUUGGUUGCGCUGUCGCCAGUUUCCCGUAGUCCUACCUAGGCUUACCCCUGUCCACCUCCAAACUGAACAUCUCGGCCUUCUCCUUUUUGAUCGAUAAAAUUGACCGCAGGUUGGCUGGCUGGCGGGGCCUUUUGCUCUCCUUAGCAGGUAGGGCAAUUCUAGUCCGAGCGGCUCUUCGUGCCCUACCCAUCUAUACUAUGAGUGCGCUGCUGCUUCCUAUAGGGACGCUUCAGGAAAUUGACAAACGUUGCAGGGCCUUCUUCUGGUCGGGGCAAGACAAAACCACGGGAGGGCAAUGCAAAGUGGCCUGGGACCUAGUGUGCGCGCCGUUCAUAAACGGGGGUUUAGGUUUCUCCUCUCUCAAACACAUGAAUGUGUGCCUACUUCUUCGACACCUGUCAAAGCUACAUGACUCUAACUCUACUCCGGCAGCAUCCUACCUAGUUAGCAAAUAUGGCUGGUCUCCCACUCACGACCUUUGGGGAUUCAUCUGCAUCGCCAGUGUGGCGCGAUAUUAUUAA